UACGUAGGGUGCAAGCGUUGUCCGGAAUUAUUGGGCGUAAAGAGCGUGUAGGCGGCCCGAUUAGUCCGCUGUGAAAGUCCAGGGCUCAACCCUGGAAUGCCGGUGGAUACUGUCGGGCUAGAGUCCGGAAGGGGCGAGUGGAAUUCCUGGUGUAGCGGUGAAAUGCGCAGAUAUCAGGAGGAACACCGAUUGCGAAGGCAGCUCGCUGGAACGUAACUGACGCUGAGACGCGAAAGCGUGGGGAGCAAACAGG
rnacentral:rRNA from 1 species